ACAUGGAGAAGAAAGGGUUGGGCGUUUGGGGAUGAUGGAGGACAAACACAACAGACGGCACCCAGUACUUAAAAUGGUGGAAAACCGUUCACAGGAAACCUUAACCCCUAUCAUCAGACGAAACGGUUCCUAUACUCUGAAUGACUGCUGCUGUUAUCCAUUCCAGACUGUUUCUUGGAGUAGUCAACGACUGUCAAGGACCUUAUCGACCUUUGCAAUUCUGCUCUAGGCCUAAAUCCUCAGAGGAUAAGCCAAUUAUCCCAUCUAAAGGACGGGUGUGCCUCCUCCAACCCCAAAUAAGCAAUAUUCUCUGAAUGCCAAGAAAGAGAAGUAGCUUUUAA